rnacentral:rRNA from 1 species
UGGGGAAUAUUGGACAAUGGGGGCAACCCUGAUCCAGCAAUGCCGCGUGUGUGAAGAAGGUCUUCGGAUUGUAAAGCACUUUCGACGGGGACGAUGAUGACGGUACCCGUAGAAGAAGCCCCGGCCAACUUCGUGCCAGCAGCCGCGGUAAUACGAAGGGGGCUAGCGUUGCUCGGAAUGACUGGGCGUAAAGGGCGUGUAGGCGGUUUACACAGUCAGAUGUGAAAUCCCCGGGCUUAACCUGGGAGCUGCAUUUGAUACGUGUAGACUAGAGUGUGAGAGAGGGUUGUGGAAUUCCCAGUGUAGAGGUGAAAUUCGUAGAUAUUGGGAAGAACACCGGUGGCGAAGGCGGCAACCUGGCUCAUGACUGACGCUGAGGCGCGAAAGCGUGGGGAGCAAACAGGAUUAGAUACCCUGGUAGUCCACGCUGUAAACGAUGUGUGCUAGAUGUUGGGUAACUUUGUU